AUCAUCUGGGGAUCUUGAUACAAUGUAGAUUCUGGUUCAGUAGGUCUGUGUGGGAUCUGAGAUUCUGCAUUUCCAACAAGUUCCCAGGUGCUCCC
ensembl:miRNA